UAGCAUUCCUUCGCACCAACCACGCCCGCACACAUCCACAAGGGGGAUCCCUUGAGAGUGCGAGACGAGCGGGCCGGUCAUUUUUCCAAGGGACUACGAGAACAACGAGGAAACUUAAUCCCUCCACUCGCACAACGUUCCGCAUCCGAGAUCACGAGCACAGUCCCGUGGGCCAAAGCAGUCUAUUCAACAUGCAAGGAACAYGGGAAGCACUACGCGGUUCAUCACGUGCCUACGAGAGGCACGGGAAGAAUAUAACAUUCAGCAACAUCGAAGAAUUCCGCUAAGCGGGUACGCAACACAGGAACCCAUCCUCCCCCGAUAGUUCAAAAAUGCCUACGGGAUGCGACUGAGGGGCCGCCGGUCAAACAGUUCGAUGCUCGAGCAUGGAGCCUGCCAACCCUAACGACC
rnacentral:misc_RNA from 1 species